rnacentral:rRNA from 1 species
UACGUAGGGAGCAAGCGUUGUCCGGAAUCAUUGGGCGUAAAGCGCGCGUAGGGGGCCCCAUAAGUCCGCUGUGAAAGUCAAAGGCUCAACCUUUGAAAGCCGGUGGAUACUGUGGGACUAGAGUACGGAAGAGGCGAGUGGAAUUCCUGGUGUAGCGGUGAAAUGCGUAGAUAUCGGAAAGAACACCAGUGGCGAAGGCGGCUCUCUGGACUCAUACUGACGCUGAGGCGCGAAAGCAUGGGGAGCAAACAGG